UUUCCGUAGGUGAACCUGCGGAAGGAUCAUUUCCAAAAAAAAUCUUACCAACCAACCAUGUGAAAUGUUUUGGGUUAUUUUUACUCUUCGCACACUUGAGCCGGUGGUGUAGGUGGUGGUGGUGGUGGUAGGAGUUGUGUAUCUCUCGAUGCACUUCUCUUCUUCAUCCUUAUCCUCAUAUUCAUCCUCCUCCUGUGCUGUGAAGAGGCUAUUAUGAACUACCUUGUCACAAAGGUUGAUUAUUACCGUGUUUUUCAAACAAAAAAACAAAUUGAUACGACAACUUUUAACGGUGGAUCUCUUGGCUCGU
rnacentral:misc_RNA from 1 species